CCUUGGUCCAUAAGCUUCUCAUCAUGUUCCUGUAGAAUUAGUUUGUCUUUACAUAACCUGGAAAGUUUCUAUGAUAUGUGUACAUUCUCUGCAAAAAAAUAAAAGACGUCUGCCUAGUUUCUUACCAAUAUUAAUCAACAAUACCCAAUAAGUUAACACAUUAUUGCUCCCACAAAAUAAAAGAAGUUAUUUCCGAUGCAUUGGUAUGGAGACUUAUCCAUGUGCUUAUAAGUUGUACUGAUAGGAUAUGAGACCAUUUUAGCUACUGAUCUCCCUGCAAUAUUAUGAAUGCAAGUGCAAAGAAUAAUACAUUGUCAACAUUUCAAGGAUCAAUUGGCCUAAUCAUAUUUGUUUUCUUCUAGGUAAACCUGCAAUAUCACCUAUACAUGCUUCUCCAGCAUCACCAGCAAAAUCAGCCGAUGCUUCACGUGGCAAGAACAAGACCUUCUUCUUAGCAAAGUGGUUUGGUUUUGGGAAGUGAGUUAUUAAAUCUGCUAAAAUAUUAGUAAUUUCGAUCAUGCAAUGCUUAAAUUUAGUCUGAGAACUGUCAAGCGAUAGAAAGUGAUUCUAUUUUUACAACAUUAAUAGGGAAUUUUCAAAAUGUUUGGAGAGCUUUUUUGGUUGUUGGUCUUAUUUAAUUGAUUUUUUGUGUCUCUGGACCAGGCUGUUUCCACAUGCUACAAUGUUUUCUUUUUUUACUUCUGGAUGUAUUUGGUUGGUUUUUUUCCUAUGUUAAUCUCUGUAGACCUUGAAAUCCUUAUGGUAGAGUUAAUCUACAUGUGAUUUUAUACGAGAAAAAUAUGAAAUAAGAAUAAGAACACCUAAAACUUGUAUAUGUAGACUAUCCUCUGUUUUUCGAAUUACAAGUAUACUAGCUAGUGAAGUUAAAAUUAGAUUUUUCUUGUAUCAAUCUUUAUAUUAUCUUUCAGCACAUAGUUAUGCAUCCCAUAAUAAUUCCUGCAUAACUAGUGUGAUUACUUCAUGAAACGAUCUGCCUUACUUAUGCCCAGUUCGCUACUGCAUAAAUGAUACUUACACCAGUAAAGUAGGCAAAUAUCCCACAACAACCAGAGGAAUGAAUAAACAUCCUAGGCAUUUGUCUAGCUUUAUAUUUCACAUAACAUUAUCUCUGUGGAAAAUUGAUAGUUAUUGCUGGUUAAAAGAGCAUAUUUUUAUUCUAAUUUAUGAAGUAGUCAAGUCAUUAUCCAUUCUGAACAUGGAAUUUUUUCAGUUAUUCUAAUUUGUCUCCCAUCAAAAAAUAGAUAUUUAUGUAACCUGAUUUCUUCCCAUGAAAAUGCUUGAUGAUCAAGUAUAUUUUCUUCCUUGAAUAACAGCCAGUGUUCAGAUUUAUAUACCUUCAUUUAUUUCAUUCUUUUUAACACUAAUGUCAAAAGGUCUAUCCAGCCAUAAAUAAUACUGUUAUCAAUCAAAUUUAUCAAUAGGCUAACCAACCUUAAGUAGGACUAUGGCCAGACUGUAGAAAAGCUAUGAUUUAAAGUCUCCAGCACAUCUUUUCACUUGUUUUAUUGGCCUGAGCCAAAAAAUUUCUGGUAGAACUCCAGUGUAUUGAAUCUCCCAUACUUUAUCAUUUGUUUUGUCUUAUCUUCAGAGGUUCCUCAUUUUGUACUCCACCUCUGCCCACAUCCCUUUUAGAAAAUAUGAUAAAUUACUGAUCAUCAAAUCAUUGCACAAUAAAU
rnacentral:lncRNA from 1 species